GUUUCGAAUAUUUUGCAAAUUCAUAGUCCCUAUGUUGCGAAAUGAACUCACUACAUAAUGAUUUAUGGUGUGUAUUGAGCGUUUAUCGUAACGCUAGACCGUUAAUAUGCAAAGUGUUUGAACC
rnacentral:pre_miRNA from 1 species